GAUGAACGCUGGCGGCGUGCCUAAUACAUGCAAGUCGAGCGAACGGACGAGAAGCUUGCUUCUCUGAUGUUAGCGGCGGACGGGUGAGUAACACGUGGAUAACCUACCUAUAAGACUGGGAUAACUUCGGGAAACCGGAGCUAAUACCGGAUGAUAUUUUGAACCGCAUGGUUCAAAAGUGAAAGACGGUCUUGCUGUCACUUAUAGAUGGAUCCGCGCUGCAUUAGCUAGUUGGUAAGGUAACGGCUUACCAAGGAAACGAUGCGUAGCCGACCUGAGAGGGUGAUCGGCCACACUGGAACUGAGACACGGUCCAGACUCCUACGGGAGGCAGCAGUAGGGAAUCUUGCGCAAUGGGCGAAAGCCUGACGGAGCAACGCCGCGUGAGUGAUGAAGGUCUUCGGAUCGUAAAACACUGUUAUUAGGGAAGAACAUAUGUGUGAGUAACUGUGCGCAUCUUGACGGUACCUAAACAGAAAGCCACGGCUAACUACGUG
rnacentral:rRNA from 1 species